GGGCGUGUAGCUCAGCUGGAAAGGUAGUUCGAAACGGACCCGUCCGUUUCUUUCGAAGCCUACGGCAGUAGAGCGCGGGUCUUCUAAGCCUGAGGUCGAGGGUUCGAAUAUCGAAACCUCCAGCGGGUUUCGAUGCAUCCAGCAGCCAGGAUUCGAAAAUCCCUUCACGCCCA
rnacentral:tRNA from 1 species